rnacentral:rRNA from 1 species
UACGUAGGGGGCUAGCGUUGUCCGGAAUCAUUGGGCGUAAAGAGCGCGUAGGCGGCCAGAUAAGUCCGGUGUGAAAGUCACAGGCUCAACCUGUGAAUGCCGCUGGAAACUGUCUGGCUUGAGUCCGGGAGGGGCGAGUGGAAUUCCUGGUGUAGCGGUGAAAUGCGCAGAUAUCAGGAGGAACACCAAUGGCGAAGGCAGCUCGCUGGAACGGUACUGACGCUGAGGCGCGAAAGCUAGGGUAGCAAACGGG